rnacentral:lncRNA from 1 species
AUUGGGUAAUCUGGGUAAAUACAGCAACAAAAUAUUUAUAUUGUACGUUUACAUAACCCUGCAAUAUCCUCAGAAGAGUUCUUUGCCUGUUCUUUCACAUGCUGCAGUGGUGGCACACGCCUGCUGCUGGUGCCACCCUGUCCCUGUGCUCCAGCCAGGGCUCGCUGCCAGCACUCACCUGCAUCUCCCAGCCCAGGCCAUGGCGAGCCAGGCUGUGGAAACAGAGCAGCCUCCCCUUCCUGCCAUUCCAUCAUCAUCAUCAUCAUCACCAUCGUCAUCAUCAUCGUCAUCAUCAUCGUCAUCAUCAUCAUCACCAUCAUCAUCAUCAUCACCAUCAUCACCAUCAUCAUCACCAUCAUCAUCACCAUCAUCAUCACCAUCGUCAUAAUCAUCAUCAUCAUCAUCACCAUCAUCAUCAUCAUCACCANCAUCAUCAUCACCAUCAUCAUCACCAUCAUCAUCACCAUCGUCAUAAUCAUCAUCAUCAUCAUCACCAUCAUCAUCAUCAUCACCAUCAUCAUCAUCAUCACCAUCAUCACCAUCAUCAUCACCAUCAUCAUCACCAUCGCCAUAAUCAUCAUCAUCAUCAUCAUCAUCAUCACCAUCAUCAUCAUCACCAUCGUCAUCAUCAUCAUCGUCAUCAUCAUCACCAUCGUCAUCAUCAUCAUCAUCAUCAUCAUCACCAUCACCAUCAUCAUCACCACCAUCACCAUCAUCAUCACCAUCAGCAUCAUCAUCACCACCAUCACCAUCAUCAUCACCAUCAUCAUCAUCAUCAUCACCAUCAUCAUCACCAUUGUCAUCAUCAUUGUCAUCAUCAUCAUCAUCAUCAACACCAUUGUCAUCAUCAUCAUCAUCAUCAUCAUCACCAUCACCUCCCUGUUCUCUUCCACGAUCCCCAGGGAACCUCUCUGCCGGCCGGGGAAGCAGGCUGGGAAAAGAACUGAAAUUGCCCUUCUGGCUCGGUGCCGCUGGGUGUUGUCCUGAGCGAGGGCAACGCUG